AUUAAAUCAAUUAAGGUAGUCAGAUUAACUAAAACCUUUAUAAAAUGGCGGCAAUUCAUCUUACUAGAGGAACUUGUUUUAUAAUUCGACAACCCCCGAUAACUCUCACUAUCAUUUAAAUUUUAUAUACCGCCGUUUAAACCUAUUCUAAACAAUAACUUCAAUUUCAACCCUAGAAAAAAAUCAGGUAAAGGUGUAAACCACGAGAUAGAAAAAAUGAGUUACAUUAACCCAAAGUUAAGAAACUUAUUUUAACAAAAUAAAGGAAAAAGGAUUUAAAAGUAAAUUAUUAAAUAAUAUUUAAAACCGAAUAAGAUAAUAAAUGUGC
rnacentral:rRNA from 1 species